rnacentral:rRNA from 1 species
UACGGGGGGGGCAAGCGUUGUUCGGAAUUACUGGGCGUAAAGGGCUCGUAGGCGGCCAACUAAGUCAGACGUGAAAUCCCCUCGGCUUAACCGGGGAACUGCGUCUGAUACUGGAUGGCUUGAGUUUGGGAGAGGGAUGCGGAAUUCCAGGUGUAGCGGUGAAAUGCGUAGAUAUCUGGAGGAACACCGGUGGCGAAGGCGGCAUCCUGGACCAACACUGACGCUGAGGAGCGAAAGCCAGGGGAGCAAAGCGGGG